GCCCAUGUAGCUCAAUGGACAGAGCAAAUGCCUUCUAAGCAUUAGGUUGGGAGUUCGAUUCUCUCCAUGGGCG
rfam:Mycoplasmataceae bacterium CE_OT135 Contig_26, whole genome shotgun sequence.